GGAGGGAGGUGCAGAUUUGCACGGCUGGCCUCAGCGGGAGGCGCGGAAAUGCAAGCCGAGCCUGCUGGAGUGAAAGCCCCCGGGGCCUGGCACCCCCGAAAACGACCUCCCACCUUAAUCCCUGCCCCCAUCGCCCACGGCCCCCAUGGGCGACCCCUCUUCUUCCUCUUCCUUCAUUUACCCCACCUCGUUACCUACGUGGCUGACCCAAAUUCAAAGCAUUUUGUGUAUAUAUAAUUUUUUUUUUUCUUUUCUGCUAUGUCUUUUUUUGGGGGGGUGGCGGGGGUGGGGGGAGAAAUCCUCUCUAGAGCCGUAAGCGGAUCUGCCACACGGAGGAAGCAUUUGGGGGCUCAGGAAGAAAUUAGCGCAGCUCCAUACCUGUACGGACUACAUAACUUUUAAACUACUGGACUCAAAGGAUCCACAUACACACAGGUACAGGAAAUACAGUCAGACCAAAGCCUUUUCAGACCCAAGCUGACCGGAAGACGUUGCCUUUCAUUCAUUCAUUCUGCCCGCGUCUGUGGAGUCCUUUACUAGGCGAGAAGCCCUAGAAGAGAAGUUGGACGUUUUUUAAAGGUCCCUGCGCUCUCCAAGAAGAGGAAAUAGAUGCUCAGGAGUGAACUACCGAGAGAAUCGGAUCUGGCGCCUCCUAACGCAGCUGGCAAACAUGCGAAGGACCCUUCUGUCUCUCCAUGUGGUCGGUCUCAUGGUAUCCCCAAAAGCUGGUGUCAAGAGAAGACCCGAUGGCAGACACCUUAGUGUAAAAACAGAAAAAAAAGACCAGGCCAGUUGUAUUUGAAACAAAAUAAUAAUGACUUUUGGACCUUCUUGCUCAUUCUUACAAAAGGCCCAGUCAGAUCCUGGCUGUGUUGGCCCCAUUCAUUCAUUUCUUCAUUCAUCAAAGGUUGAUUGAGCAGCUCUGUGCUCUAAAGACUUCGAGGAUGGAAAAAUCAGCUCCGAUUGUAGCCUCUUCCUCCAGACGGGGCAAGAAGUGGGCUGCCAGCUUCCCAAACAAGUCAGGAAGGACUGAUGCUGGAUGGAACCCCCAGAAUCUAGGAUUUUUCACACUGUUAGAAACUGAAGCUGUCAUAUUCAUGUAUCAUUAUAAUAGCUCCUGAUUUUUGAGAGCUUACUCUGUCUUUGAGCAAAAGCUCUCACAUUUUGCUAUCUCUUGAAAUCCUCAUCAAAGUUCUCUGAGAGAGGGUCUGUAAUUGCCCAUUUUUACAGCUGAGGCUCAAAAAGAGGUCAAGUCACUUGCCCACAAUUUAGGGCUGCGAAAUAGCAAAGACGGGUUUUGAAUCCUGGGCUGGUAGGAAUCCAGAGCCCAGAGGCUUCUGUCUGUCUAGUCUUUCCUGCAGGGCAGUCCCACAGAACACGAAGAUGGAAAUGUUCUAUGUCUGUGCUAACAGAGGAGCCUCUAGCCACAUGUGGCUGUUGAGCACUGUCCAAGAAUUAUUUAAUCAGUUCCCCAAAUUUCAGAAUGAAAUGUGAAUAGUGGGAUUAAGGAACUAAAUGCUGAAUUUUAUUUAAUUUUAAUUAAAUUUAAAUACCUAUAUAUAGUAUCUCCCUUACUGGACAGUGCAACCUUAGAGUACAAUCCAGAAUUUGUCUUGAGGGGAGGUGAUCAGGGAUAUCUACAAAGGUUUUCUAGAAGGAGCCAUCUGUGCAACAUGAAUGGAGUGUUAGCACUUAAACCACCCACUCUGUGUGCCUGCUAAGAGCAUGGCACCAGAGGCCGCUGGGGAUGCCAGCAUGAUAUAAAAUUGUCCCACCUGCCCAGAUCUGACAAAUAAACUUCUCAGGUACAGAUGAUUGGUGACAGCAGGAAGCCUUAGAAAUGGAUGACUACUUCCUGAUAUAUAUCCGACAGUCAGACUCAAACACAAAGAUGCGAUGCAUUGUAGCCCUAUGCAAAAUAGAUUUGGGAGAAGAUUAAAAAUGAUCUGAAAGCUGGGGAACUGAUUAAAUAAUUCUUGUAUAGUUUGUAUGCCCAAGGAAAUGCUAUCAAAUCAUUAAAAAGAACAAGGUAGCUAUAUAUAUAUAUAUAUGUAUAUAUAUGCAUACAUAUAUAUUAUGUAUAUAGGGCUUCCUGGCUCAGUGAUUAAGAAUGCAAGAGAUGAGGGUUCUAUCCCUGUGUUGGGAAGAACCCCUGGAGAAGGAAAUGACAACCAACUUCAGUAUUUUUGCCUGGGAAAUCUCAUGGACAGAGGAGCCUGGCGGGCUAUAGUCCAUGGGGUCCCAAAAAGAGCUGGACAUGAUUUAGCAACCAAACAAUAACAAACUAUAGAUACUGAUGUAAAAUGAUUUCAUGAUAUCCUUACAUUAAAACAAAACAAGGUGCAGAAUAAUACCAAACUGUGAUGACCGCUUAUGUAAACCAAAGAGAAUAUAUCUAUAUCUACAGUUUUUUAUAUGUGCAAAAUUUUCUUUGGAAAGAAAUACAACUUUUAAAUGGGGGAAAGAACUGGAAAAGACAAAAAUACUUUUUCUUUGGUACAGUGUGAUAUCUUUACCAUAUAUAAGUGUUAGUGUUGCCUGAUUUUGAACCUUAUAGAUUUCAUUUUAUAUGUUGUGUUAUCUUUUGAAUUUUAUACUAUGCAUAGUAUAAAAUUGUAUUACCUACUCAAAAUUGAAUUUCAUUUUAUUUGUGAUUUUUGAGCCUAUGAGUUUCAAAAUCAGGCAAAUCUAAACCAAAUAAAUAUUAUUUAGUUAUACAUACAUAAGUGGUAAAGCAUAAAUAAAAGCAAAGGCAUGAUUAACAGAAAAAGCCGGAAGAAAGUCGCUCUGGGCUAGGGAAUGUGAAGAGUGAAAGGUACUAGUGAUUUUCUGUUUCUUAAUCUAGGUGGAGGACACCUGAUAAAUUCUACUGUGUUUAUGAAAGGUUCCACUCUUUAAAAAUUGUUUUAAAAUUGCUUUCUUCCUCUCCCACUCCUAGUUUCUCCUCUCCACACUCCCAUCCCCAGAAAACUUAGCAAGUCUCUUGGGCAUCCUCCCAGAAAUGGUUUAUGCUGUUACAAAACCUCUACAUAUAUUUUCUUUUAUUAUUGUGUCACACAAAUAUACACCCUGUCCUUCCCCUUCCUUUUUCAUUUAAUCUAAUCUUGGAGUUCUUUCCAUAUACUAUCUGUAGAACUGCCUCAUUCUAAAAUAUUACUUUAAGGAUGAGAUAAAUCUGAAUCACAUGAUACAGAAAAAUUCAAGAUUGGUUAAGAAACAUAAGUCACAGAAUAACCUGUAAUGAUCCCAUUUAUGUUAAAACAAACUAUAAUGUAUAGACAUGCAAGAGAAAGAAAGAAAAAGGCUUGAAUAGAACAACAAACCAUUCAUUGUUUGAUCACUUCUGAGGAGAGGACAAAGUUUUGAGCGGGUUAUAUAGAGUCUAUACUUAAUUAUUUGCAUUUUUAACAACCAUUGUGCCCUGUUAAAUUUAUCAGAUAUUUCGAACAUAAAGGCAUAGAAAAUAAAUGUAAAUAAAUAUAGGAAGAACUUGUAUAUCUAGCAUCUCUGUUUGCCAAUCCAAACCCUAGAGUUUUGUCAUAUUUUGGGUCACUUUUGCAAUUUAAUAAAUACUCUGGGACAACAGACCACACUAUUACAGUUAAAGUGAUUGUAGUUCCCAGAGACUUGUGUUUGUUUGGGUUUUUGUUUGGCUCCUCAGUCCUUGUGGAUUGCAAUAUCUGAGUAAGAAAAACCAUGGCCAAAUUACACAUGGCCUGAGUGUCAGGCUUUGAUCCUUUGAGGAAAACAGGUUUGUGCCUAGAGUUCUACAUAUUAUAAUAUGUCUUCCUUCCUGAAGGUUGGAAGGAAACUUGGAAAUAACAGGUGAGUUAAUCAAGGGGUUAACUCCAGG
ensembl:lncRNA